rnacentral:tRNA from 2 species
GCCCAGGUAGCUCAGUCUGGGAGAGCAUCGGCCUGAAGAGCCGAGUGUCCCCGGUUCAAAUCCGGGUCUGGGCA